rnacentral:rRNA from 1 species
GUCUGAGAGGAUGAUCAGCCACACUGGAACUGAGACACGGUCCAGACUCCUACGGGAGGCAGCAGUGGGGAAUAUUGCACAAUGGGCGCAAGCCUGAUGCAGCCAUGCCGCGUGUGUGAAGAAGGCCUUCGGGUUGUAAAGCACUUUCAGUCGUGAGGAAGGUGGUAGUGUUAAUAGCACUAUCAUUUGACGUUAGCGACAGAAGAAGCACCGGCUAACUCCGUGCCAGCAGCCGCGGUAAUACGGAGGGUGCGAGCGUUAAUCGGAAUUACUGGGCGUAAAGCGCAUGCAGGUGGUUUGUUAAGUCAGAUGUGAAAGCCCGGGGCUCAACCUCGGAAUUGCAUUUGAAACUGGCAGACUAGAGUACUGUAGAGGGGGGUAGAAUUUCAGGUGUAGCGGUGAAAUGCGUAGAGAUCUGAAGGAAUACCGGUGGCGAAGGCGGCCCCCUGGACAGAUACUGACACUCAGAUGCGAAAGCGU